rnacentral:rRNA from 1 species
UCGGGAAUUUUGGGCAAUGGGGGAAACCCUGACCCAGCAACGCCGCGUGAAGGAUGAAGUAUUUCGGUAUGUAAACUUCGAAAGAAUAGGAAGAAUAAAUGACGGUACUAUUUAUAAGGUCCGGCUAACUACGUGCCAGCAGCCGCGGUAAUACGUAGGGACCAAGCGUUGUUCGGAUUUACUGGGCGUAAAGGGCGCGUAGGCGGCAUGACAAGUCACUUGUGAAAUCUCUGGGCUUAACCCAGAACGGCCAAGUGAUACUGUCGCGCUAGAGUGCAGAAGGGGCAAUCGGAAUUCUUGGUGUAGCGGUGAAAUGCGUAGAUAUCGAGAGGAACACCAGUGGCGAAGGCGAAUCUCUGGACAAAUCCUGACACUGAGGCACGAAAGCCAAGGGAGCAAACGGGAUUAGAUACCCUCGUAGUCCCUGAGCGGGCUGGCAAGGCGCAU